CCUACGGGAGGCAGCAGUGAGGAAUAUUGGUCAAUGGGCGCGAGCCUGAACCAGCCAAGUAGCGUGAAGGAUGACUGCCCUACGGUUUGUAAACUUCUUUUAUAAAGGAAUAAAGUGAGGGACGUGUGCCGUUUUGUAUGUACUUUAUGAAUAAGGAUCGGCUAACUCCGUGCCAGCAGCCGCGGUAAUACGGAGGAUCCGAGCGUUAUCCGGAUUUAUUGGGUUUAAAGGGAGCGUAGAUGGGUUGUUAAGUCAGUUGUGAAAGUUUGCGGCUCAACCGUAAAAUUGCAAUUGAUACUGGCAGGCUUGAGAACAGUUGAGGUAGGCGGAAUUCGUGGUGUAGCGGUGAAAUGCUUAGAUAUCACGAAGAACUCCGAUUGCGAAGGCAGCUUACUAAGCUGUCACUGACAUUGAUGCUCGAAAGUGUGGGUAUCAAACAGGAUUAGAUACCCUUGUAGUC
rnacentral:rRNA from 1 species